GGGAAGUGUUGUCUAUUCCAGGGUCGGCAUAAAAGGAGCUAAACACUCAGGAUGGAAAGAAACCCAUCAGCAGCUUUCUCUAGUCAUCAUGUUUCCUAUAAAUGCAAGAGAUCAUCAGCCAUCAUAAAAAAGAUUUCACGGGAACGGACCGCAAACUCAGUUCCUCUUCCAUUUUGUUGAAGAUCAGCAUAUUAACAAUUGUUCAGAAGCAAAAUUUCAUAAGCUUGGCUGUGGAAGAGUUAUGAUGCAAAAACAAUCACAAAAGGCUUAGCCUUGCUGCUUUAUUGACACAGCCUUCCUGUCCCCACAUCUUGCUUCCUGUCAGGAAAGUGGGACGUGUUGGAUGAUUUCCCAGCUUCUCUUUGGAGAGGAAGUCUACAGGUUUUCCACCAACCAGCCCCGGCCAAUCUACGCUCCCCGGGAACACCUGCAACUAAAGGCUAUGCCCGUUCUCUUUUGUGUGUUUGCAGCUAUCAAAAUAAAUGAGCCAUCUUGGCUGGGAAAUCACAUCUCUUUCCAGAGUAACCUCACUCUCUACAUGUGCACAAAGAUGCAUAUGCCCUGAUGAUUAAAGAACUCCAAAAGAGGCAGUCUAAGACUGAUACAGCCAGGUCCAAGUUCAUGAGGCAUCCAGGUUCCUCUUAUCUCCCUGCUAUUUGCUGCAUUGCCUCAUAGCCCAAGAUGACUUUGGAAAUUUGGCCAUCAUAUCUACAUUCCAGAUAGCAGGAAGAAGGAAGAAACCCAAAUCCCAGAUCACUGGAGCCCAGAAGCACCUUUUGAUCUCUAACUCAUCUUUUGAGAUACCCCUUCCUUGACCUCUCUACUCUAGAUGAUACACAGAGUUCAAGCUCUACCAUGAGAUUGUCCUGGGAAACCCUAUUUUUGCAAUUUUUUCCUUAUCUUCUGAAUUUCUGUAGUGUGUGUUUACUGUACCAUUUAUUUGGCAACAAUUCAAAUACUUUCAUCCUUCCAACAAAAAGAGGGAGACAAUAAUAUUUAUCUGGAAG